GGUCUCAAAACUGGCAUUCUUUCUCCAGUCAAAUGGCGAAUAGGAAGACAUUGAAGUCUCAGAAUUCUCCAGCAACACUGAGGAGAGCAAAGCAGUCUGAGAUUACAGUCUGAUAUCUGGUGGAGUCAGGAUUGAUUUUCAGUAUGAGGGUUUUAAAUUCCAGUUGUCUCCUAAGGAUAUGAAAACACUAGAUGGCCUGAAUAAAAGUUUUCAAUGUCUUCCAGCUAAGUUUUUUGCUGAGCACCCAGAAUAUCCAUUUUCUGAUGAAUAUUAACGUGAGGACAUAGUCAUGACACUGCCUGAAGUCACUGAGAGAUGUUGGUCAUGUGAAUCACAUGUUGUUUGGUGGAUGUCACAUUUUCAGCCAACCUAGGCUGCUUGGCAACUCUGACAUUCAGUUGAAGCUCCAGACAAUGACUUAGAAGA